CGACCGGCGCACGGGUGCGUAACGCGUAUGCAACCUACCUUUUACAGGGGCAUAACACUGAGAAAUUGGUACUAAUACCCCAUAACAUCACCGGAGGCAUCUUCGGUGGUUGAAAACUCAGGUGGUCAGAGAUGGACAUGCGUUGUAUUAGCUAGUUGGUGAGGUAACGGCUCACCAAGGCGACGAUACAUAGGGGGACUGAGAGGUCAACCCCCCACAUUGGUACUGAGACACGGACCAAACUCCUACGGAAGGCAGCAG
rnacentral:rRNA from 1 species